CCUACGGGGGGCAGCAGUCGAGAAUUUUUCUCAAUGGGGGCAACCCUGAAGGAGCGACGCCGCGUGGAGGAUGAAGGCUUUCGGGUUGUAAACUCCUGUCAUUUGAGAACUAGUAUCAGAAGAGGAAGAGACGGCUAACUCUGUGCCAGCAGCCGCGGUAAUACAGAGGUCUCAAGCGUUGUUCGGAUUCAUUGGGCGUAAAGGGUGCGUAGGUGGCGUCGUAAGUGGGGUGUGAAAUCUCGGGGCUUAACUCCGAAACUGCAUUCCAUACUGCGGUGCUUGAGGACUGGAGAGGAGACUGGAAUUUACGGUGUAGCAGUGAAAUGCGUAGAGAUCGUAAGGAAGACCAGUGGCGAAGGCGGGUCUCUGGACAGUCCUGACACUGAGGCACGAAGGCCAGGGGAGCAAACGGGAUUAGAUACCCUUGUAGUC
rnacentral:rRNA from 1 species